ensembl:lncRNA
AUGAAAUCAACUGGGCAUCAUUCUUAUCGCACUGUUCCCAGAUGUGCUGGAGCAACAUAUGUCAUUUCAUCUGCAUCAGUCUCUAAAGGUUUCCACAGCAGUGGUCUCACAGUCAAGCUGAGACAGAGAUACAUGUUUUCAUUGGCUCCGUCAGUGGCCACUAAGAGUGGUCUGACUCUCUUCGACAGCGGAUAGUUUCCAUUUAAUUCUGCACAGUGCUUGUUUUUCCUGAUUUAGCCCCUGAACUAAAUGCAUUAGCACAUCAUGUUAAAUGCCAAUUGCAACAUGCUUUUUACCUUGUAAAAGACGUUUCUUUAGAGAUUACCCAUGAUGCAAAAUCUGAUAGGCUAUCAGACUUAUAAUGCAAUGUGUGGAGUACUGUUUUUCGACUUGUUAAUAUACACUUUUAUAGACCCAUUGAUGUUAUGGGCUGUUGAUAUAAUUCAUACACCAAAUUUAAUGCAAUCAUUUUCAGCACAUUGUACAUUCAUCAUUUUAAAUUAUGAAUAAUAGCUUGCAUUGCAGGAUCCAACUUACUUUUUGGUGUUCUUAAAAGUAAAAUUCCUCCCCAAGUUCCAUUAUUGCUGAACACUACACCCUUUCCCAUGUGCUUUAAAUCUGUGUUGCAUUAAAUUUGUGUUGUGCAGAGUGCAGAGCAUACAGUAGUAAGUGGGUAUGAGACUUGCAGGUUUUGCCAGUACAUGUAACAUUUUUUUUUUUCAGCACUAUGCCAGCCUUUAAUUUGUUUGUACAAAUUAGCAUUUUAAUGAAAAUGGUGCUUCUGGGAUUUAAAGAAUAAUUAAAGUAUAAGGUCUGUAAUUAUGUGAGUUUUUGUGAGUUAAAAGGGUUGGCACACCUGUAUUUAAAUAUUCCUAGUAUUCCCAAAGCUAUAAAAAAAUAUAUAUAUAUAUAUAUAUGUUUCUGUUCACUGGCCUCAGAUGGCAGCUCAGAGCUGUGUUGCAUUUCUGUUCUGUAAUGGUCUUUGCACACCUGCGGAUGUAAAAAUGGCCACAUUUUGCAGAAUUUGUUUUUGAGACAUUGCUGGAGCUUCAAGUGUGUCUUAUCUGCCUGACCACACAUUGGUCUUAUUCUACCAUGAACUUGAAUAUAUGAAUUUGGUGCUGAAAUUGUUGAAUAAAAAUUAAAUCCAGCACCCCA